rnacentral:rRNA from 1 species
AUUGAACGCUGGCGGCAUGCUUUACACAUGCAAGUCGAACGGCAGCGCGGGCUUCGGCCUGGCGGCGAGUGGCGAACGGGUGAGUAAUACAUCGGAACGUGCCCAGUAGUGGGGGAUAGCUCGGCGAAAGCCGGAUUAAUACCGCAUACGACCUGAGGGUGAAAGCGGGGGAUCUUCGGACCUCGCGCUAUUGGAGCGGCCGAUGGCAGAUUAGCUAGUUGGUGGGGUAAAGGCCUACCAAGGCGACGAUCUGUAGCUGGUCUGUGAGGAGGACCAGCCACACUGGGCCUGAGACACGGCCCGGAUACUGACGGAAGGCAGCGGUGGGAAAUUUUGGCAAAUGGGCGAAAGCCUGAACCAGCAUGCCGCGUGUGUGAUGAAGGCCUUCGGGUUGUAAAGCACUUUUGGCGGGAACGAAAAGGACUGUGCCAAUACCACGGUUCGAUGACGGUACCCGCAGAAUAAGCACCGGCUAACUACGUG